GUAUCCUGAGUAAGGCGGGACCGGAGAAAUCCUGCCUGAAUCUGCCGGCACCAUCCGGUAAGGCUAAAUACUCCUCAGACACCGAUAGUGAACCAGUACCGUAAGGGAAAGGUGAAAAGCACCCUAAAUAAGGGAGUGAAAUAGUACCUGAAACCGUGCGCCUACAAGCGGUCGGAGCAGCAUUUAUGUUGUGACGGCGUGCCUUUUGCAUAAUGAGCCUACGAGUUACUCCUCACUGGCGAGGUUAAGCUCUUAAGUAGCGGAGCCGUAGCGAAAGCAAGUCCAAAUAGGGCGAAUAGUCAGUGGGGGUAGACGCGAAACUUUGUGAUCUAUCCAUGGGCAGGUUGAAGGUGUGGUAACACACACUGGAGGACCGAACACGUAAACGUUGAAAAGUUUUGUGAUGACCUGUGGAUAGGGGUGAAAGGCCAAUCAAACUGAGAGAUAGCUCGUUCUCCCCGAAAUGUUUUUAGGAACAGCCUCGGAUUAUAGACGUUUAGCACAGGUAGAGCUACUGAUUGGGCUAGGGGGCUUCACCGCCUACCAAACCCUGACAAACUCCGAAUGGUGCUAAAUAUCUCCGGGAGUGAGGCUGUGGGCGAUAAGGUCCAUGGCCGAGAGGGAAAUAACCCAGAUUAGCAACUAAGGUCCCUAAUACAUGGUUAAGUUGAUCAAACGAGGUGGAGUUUCUAUAACAGCCAGGAUGUUGGCUUGGAAGCAGCCACUCAUUUAAAGAGUGCGUAACAGCUCACUGGUCGAGAGACUCUGCACGGAAAAUAAUCGGGCAUCAAACCAUGAACCGAAGUUCUAAACAGUGUAUUAAGUACACUUGUGGUAGGGGAGCAUUGAAAUCAGCUGCGAAGGUGUCUGGCGAUGGAUGCUGGAGCGAUUUCAAAAGAAAAUGUAGGCAUAAGUAACGAUAAAACAGGUGAAAAACCUGUUCGCCGUAAACCCAAGGUUUCCUGAUCAAUGUUAAUCAGAUCAGGGUUAGUCGGGUCCUUAGGCAAACCCGAAAGGGGUAGCUGAUGGCAAGUUGGUUAAUAUUCCAACACCUGCUUUUACUUCGAUGGGGUGACGGGGUAGUGAAAGGUCCGCGUUCUUACGGAAUAGAACGUUAAAGGGUGUAGAUAUAGGCUGUAUAGGUAAAUCCGUACGGCUUGUCGAACCUGAUAGUACAGCAAAGCUUCGGCAGCGCUGAUAGUGACCCUAAUCAAACCUCCGAGAAAAACCUCUAAGUUAUGGUAGAAGCAGCCCGUACCGCAAACCGACACAGGUGGGUGGGAUGAGUAUUCUAAGGCGCUCGGGUGAGCCUUGGAGAAGGAACUAGGCAAAUUAACGCUGUAACUUCGGGAUAAAGCGUACCGCAGCGAUGCGGUCACAGUAAAAUGGUUCAACCAACUGUUUAACAAAA
rnacentral:rRNA from 1 species